CUCAGAUUGAACGCUGGCGGCAGGCCUAACACAUGCAAGUCGAGCGGAAACGACACUAACAAUCCUUCGGGUGCGUUAUUGGGCGUCGAGCGGCGGACGGGUGAGUAAUGCCUAGGAAAUUGCCUUGAUGUGGGGGAUAACCAUUGGAAACGAUGGCUAAUACCGCAUAAUGCCUACGGGCCAAAGAGGGGGACCUUCGGGCCUCUCGCGUCAAGAUAUGCCUAGGUGGGAUUAGCUAGUUGGUGAGGUAAUGGCUCACCAAGGCGACGAUCCCUAGCUGGUCUGAGAGGAUGAUCAGCCACACUGGAACUGAGACACGGUCCAGACUCCUACGGGAGGCAGCAGUGGGGAAUAUUGCACAAUGGGCGAAAGCCUGACGCAGCCAUGCCGCGUGUAUGAAGAAGGCCUUCGGUUGUAAGUAACUUCAGUUGUGUAGGAAGGGUGUGUAGUUAAUAGCUGCGCAUCUUGUACGUUACGUA
rnacentral:rRNA from 1 species